rnacentral:rRNA from 1 species
ACUUAAAUUGAAGAGUUUGAUCAUGGCUCAGAUUGAACGCUGGCGGCAGGCCUAACACAUGCAAGUCGAGCGGUAGCACAGAGAGCUUGCUCUCGGGUGACGAGCGGCGGACGGGUGAGUAAUGUCUGGGAAACUGCCUGAUGGAGGGGGAUAACUACUGGAAACGGUAGCUAAUACCGCAUAAUGUCGCAAGACCAAAGUGGGGGACCUUCGGGCCUCAUGCCAUCAGAUGUGCCCAGAUGGGAUUAGCU